AAUCAACGCUGGCGGCGUGCCUCAGACAUGCAAGUCGAACGAUUAAAGCUCUCUUCGGAGAGUGUAUAGAGUGGCGCACGGGUGAGUAACACGUAAGUAAUCUACCUUUGAGUGGGGAAUAACAGUCGGAAACGACUGCUAAUACCGCAUAAUGCAGCGGGCACCGCAAGGUGACAGUUGUUAAAGGAGCAAUUCGCUUAAAGAGGAGCUUGCGGCAGAUUAGCUUGUUGGUAAGGUAACGGCUUACCAA
rnacentral:rRNA from 1 species